rnacentral:tRNA from 1 species
ACUAUUUUGUCAGAUAAUAUGUGCUAGACUUAGGAUCUAGAUAAAUAGAAUAAAGUUCUAUAAGUAGUA